rnacentral:rRNA from 1 species
CAGCAGUGAGGAUAUUGGUCAAUAGCCUAACGGCUGAACCAGCAACUUGGAGGAAUGUAUAGCUAAAGCUAACUGUGUUUUGUAAAAAAUAUAGAUUCGAUUUAUUCGUAUAAAGUUCAAGGUAGAGUUAUGAUAAUGACAUUUUCUAUCUAUAGUCUUGACCAACAUGCGUGCCAGCAGUCGCGGCAAGACGCUAAAGACAAGUGUUAUUCAUCUUUAAUAGGUUUAAAGCGUACCUAGACGGUAAAUCAAGCCUUAAUCGGGACUAAUUUAACUAGAGUUAGAUGUAAGGGUGCAUUAACGUACUGUUGAGUGUAGAGAUGAAAUUCUUUCAUACCAGAUGAUUGGCACGGGUUUAGGCGAAAGCAUCACCUUAUGUAAUAACUGACGUUGAAGGACGAAGGCUUUGUAUCGCGAACAGGAUUAGAUACCCCAGUAGUCUAAGCAGAAAAUGAUGAGUGUCAUAGGUUAAAUAUUAUUUAGUCUAUAAAUGAAAGUGUAAGCAUUCCACCUCAUGAGUAAUUUGGCAACAUUGGAAUUGAAAUCAUUAGACCGUUUCUGAAACCAGUAGUGAAGUAUGUUGUUUAAUUAGAUGAUCCACAAAGAACCUUACCACAAUUUGAAUAUUUUUAUUUUACAAGCGUUGCACGGCUGUCUACAGUUAAUGUCGUGAGAUUCUGGUUAGUUCCAUUUAAUUAACGUAAACCCUAACUUUAUUUUAUUUAUAUAAAGUUGUUCGCCGCUAGAUUGGUAUGAUAAAAGGGGGUAAGACAAGUCA